rnacentral:rRNA from 1 species
GACGAACGCUGGCGGCGUGCUUAACACAUGCAAGUCGAACGGAAAGGCCCUGCUUUUGUGGGGUGCUCGAGUGGCGAACGGGUGAGUAACACGUGAGUAACCUGCCCUUGACUUUGGGAUAACUUCAGGAAACUGGGGCUAAUACCGGAUAGGAGCUCCUGCUGCAUGGUGGGGGUUGGAAAGUUUCGGCGGUUGGGGAUGGACUCGCGGCUUAUCAGCUUGUUGGUGGGGUAGUGGCUUACCAAGGCUUUGACGGGUAGCCGGCCUGAGAGGGUGCCCGGCCACAUGGGGAGCGAGAUGCGGCCGAGACCCCUGGGGGGGGGAGGGGGGGGGAAUUGUGCAAAGGGGGGGGGCGCGUUAGGCAGAAGCGCCGCGUGCGGUGUGGGGGCCCGCGGGGUGAAACCCUUUUGCGCCUGUGACAAAGCGGAGGGACGGGAAAGGGUGAAAAAGGCCCGGGUAACUCCGUG